GGCCUCCUGGUACUUACCACAGGCUGUAUUCUUAACACUGACUGCACAGAACAAAGAGGCAGAGCAAACCUGUCCCAGGUACACUCUAGCCCAGGCCACUGUGCCUGGUCUGUGCUGUGAAUGAGGAAGACAUGA
ensembl:snoRNA